UUGCAGACACCAAGUGCUGAGGUCCUGUCUCAGCCUCAUACAGACCAAUUGCUGGGAAGGUGAGAAGCAAGUGGACAAAUGAUGAAGUAAAGGUUGCUGCAAAGUACCAGGUAAAAAGGAAUGUGACUGCUGCUUCCAAGCAGAGCCGGCAGCUCGGAAAGGCAGAGACUGGGUUGCCAUAAAGUAUUACAUCCACGACAGGAUCAUAGCAUUAAAAGAAAGAUGCAAGAAAAAAAGAAACAAGCAAGAAAGAUACUUUGUUGCUUCCACAGUUAUGUCAGUAUUGUAGUUUUCUGUAUUGCAUUGUUCUUACUCAUAAAUCUGUGGUUUAUGCUGAGUGCUUUUUGCAAUUAAAUGAUAAGAAAGGCA